GGAUGGGGGAUACAAGUUACCAAAGUAGUGGCGAGAAAAGGAAAUUUUAAUUUAGGACACUUAGGCCAUACUGAAGCAAGGUGACAAAAUGAAUAGCUACAAUGUCUCAUGAAUCUUGGGUUUCCAUUCACCCUGGUAUUCAAGAGAAAUUCUUGCAUCAUGGAAGUUGCAGUUGGAUAGGACUUUCUCAGCUGAACACUGUCAUCUGCCAGAGCUUCAGGCAAGAACCCAGAACAGAUGAAACCCCAGACAUGACAAAAUAAGCCAAGGAAUACCAGGCCAAGAUGUGAAAGGCCAGAUGAGAACAAGCAGCGUACACGAUUCUGUUGCCAACAGAUCUCCCCUAACAGUGUCGUGCACCAAAUUUCCACAGUGAAUGUCAGGAAAAAAUGGCAAUUGAGGUGGGUGGUCAAAAGAGAUGCACAGUCUAUGAUGAAGUCACCCCAGAGAAGUCCUUUUUCCUUUUUCUCCUGAGAAAACCAGAAGAAAUUAAAAUCCUUUUGAGUAUUGCA
rnacentral:sRNA from 1 species